UGGGGAAUAUUGGACAAUGGGCGAAAGCCUGAUCCAGCAAUGCCGCGUGUGUGAAGAAGGUCUUCGGAUUGUAAAGCACUUUCGACGGGGACGAUGAUGACGGUACCCGUAGAAGAAGCCCCGGCUAACCUCGUGCCA
rnacentral:rRNA from 1 species